GAUGCAGCGGGCGUUUCAAUCAUUGGCGGAUCUGCUUGGGAGGAAGCGGCGAUCGCCUUGAAUUAGCGAGAAGAAGCCUCACGGGCAACGCGGUGGAUGUCCGAACGGUCGAUGCCGAGGUCAUGCAAUUCGCGGUUGGUCAUGCGACCGAGUUCCGUGACGGUCUGACGAUACUUGCGCCAGUUGUUGAAAGAGCGAGUGAUGUUCAUGUUAAGCCCCUUUCCGAGGGUUUGAUCUGCCAGCAGCCACCGAUCGGCGCUGA
rnacentral:sRNA from 1 species